UAACAACCUAUUGCGACCGCGCAGGAAGUGGCGCGCAGGUCAACUGUUGAAUGAGUAUAUCCUGACGUUGUUAUCCGUCCUGUAGCACCUGACCUCCUCUUCUAUUAUCAAUACAUUAUAUUUACAGUUAUCAUCGCACAACACGGAGGAGCGGCUCAGGACGGCUCGGUGCUCAUCACCUCUUUUCAUCGGGAGUAACCGUGAGAGAUCGUCAUGAAGCCUGGACGCCUGCAGCCCAGCCAGGGGAAGAGGUCCGCCCGGCCCAAGAAGGCCGCCGCGCGUAGGGAUUGGGUUAGCACCGUCAACGACCUCUCUGUGCACAAGUCGACGCCAGCCGAACUGGUCCACCGCCAUGAGAUCCACAAGUCCCACAACUCUGCGGUGGCCCAGUGGGAGCUGAAGGAGAAGAGUGUCAGGAGGCGCCACAGGGUCCUGGGGACCCCCUCCCCCAUGGACCAGGCCAGCCUCAGCAUCAUCCGGGAGGUGUUCUCUGACCAGCUCUUGCUCCAGGAUGUGUUGGCUCGCUCAGACAGAGCAAUGGCCGUGGUCAAGGACCUUUUCGGAGACGCCCCGCGCAGACAGACAGGACACCCCAGGGUGACGAUGGCUCCGGACUGUGAUUCUGACUCUGAGCUGCCGGUGGUCCGGAGAGCCGACCCCCCCACCCAGCUGUCUCUCCUCAGCCACACAACAAUGAAUCAGCAGGCUCUGAAUGAUCUGGAAGAGUGUGAGGGAGAGUACCGGGAAGAGGAGCCGCCUCCCGCUGCCGUCACUGGUCCAAGACCCAGGUCUGACCCGUGCCGGAUGAGAACCAGGACGGGGCUGGGUGGAGGGCCCCCAGGUCCAAGGGCCAAGCCCAGCUCCAGGUCCAGAGGGUGGGGGGCCAGCGGGCAGACCCCCCCCGGUGCCCCAGCCACAGCUCCAGAUCCAGCAGGCCUCAACACCACGGUAGCAGUGCAGCGAGUGUGCGCCCGAACCAGCCAAUCAGAGGCAGGGCAGGAGGCGGGGCCUGGCGUCCAGGACUCGCUGAGCUCAUCAGCACGGCCCGGUGCUGCCCCCUGCAGGCAGAGGAAGACCCCCGCCACACCGCGCCCUGCUGAGACCCCCGGGCCGAUGGACGGGUCCGCCGUCUCCCUGAGCGGGACCCGGUCCAGCCUGGACCUGCUGCAGGGCAUGCUGGGCCGGGUGGAGGAGGACCUGGACUCCAUGGGCCCCCAGGAGCCAGAGAGAGAGGGCCAGCCCUCCUCUGGGGCCGGACCGCCCCCCAGGACCCAGGGCCUCACAGGCUUCUCCGUGGCGCUGGUCUCCACCCUGGGCCGGGUGGUGCAGCUCCUCAGACAGAGGGAGGAGGAGGCGCAGAGGGAGGUGGGUGAGAGGAGACGUCUGGAGGAGGUGGUGCUGGAUCAGAGGGCGCUGAUAGAUGCCCUCAGCGCAGAGAGCCUGGCCCUGAGAGAGGAGAGCGCCGCCCUGCAGGUGUGCCUCCUUCAGCGGACCUCUGAGCUGGAGCAGCGGCUGGACACGGUGGUGCAGGCACUGGGAGGAGUGGACCUACUGGGAGGACUCCUGGGUGCUCCUAAUGACUCCCUCCCACUCUCCCAUAGCCCAGAUUAUGGGAGUGACUCGCUGUAUGCCGGGUUCGAGCCCCGCCUGACCCAAGGCCCCGCCUCCUCUGCUGUCCUGCUCUCCCCUCCCCAGCAGAGAGACCACCUGCCCCACGGCCCCCCAGAGCGCGGCCCCAGUCCACGCUACGACCGCCCCCGGCACGGCGCCCGGGGUCACCGGGAGGUCGCCAGCCUCUCCUCCUCCACCCUCCCCCCGGCCCCCGUGACCUCUGACCCCGAGGGACGGCCCGCCCUCUCAGAGGAGGCCCUGGUGGCGGAGAUCACGCGGCUGAGCCAGCAGAACCAGCGCAUCAAGGAGCAGCUCACCCAGGCCAGGGCUCUGGGGUCGGCCCUCAGCCGCUCCCCAGACCCAGGCACCGCCACAGCCUCCUCCUCCUCCUCCUCCUCCUCUUCCUCCUCCCAGGCCAAGGGUUCCUGGUCCUCUGGCAGCACGGGGCCGGGGGCCCGGGGUGGGAGGGCUGAGUCUGCUGGCCCACAGAGGGAGACCCAGCAGGACCCCCUGACGGGAGGAGGACCGCUGCAGUCUCCAGAGGUACAGUAGACCCAGCAGGUCUCCAGGGUACAGUAGACCCAGCAGGUCUCCAGAGGUACAGUAGACCCAGCAGGUCUCCAGAGGUACAGUAGACCCAGCAGGUCUCCUGGGUACAGUAGACCCAGCAGGUCUCCAGAGGUACAGUAGACCCAGCAGGUCUCCGGAGGUACGGUAGACCCAGCAGGUCUCCAGAGGUACGGUAGACCCAGCAGGUCUCCGGAUGUACAGUAGACCCAGCAGGUCUCGAGUCCCAGAGGUCCACCUGACCCAGGCCUUCCUUCCCCUCAGUGGAAGGUUGAUCCUCGGUGUGGGAGUCACUUUGGAUUGGCACGAAGCUCCUACAGAAAUGGAAAGAUAUUAACAUCUCCUGAAGGCCAGUCGAAGGGCGACCUUGCCAGUGUUUGUAAUAACGCUGUUUAAAUGAACGGCUAACGCCGUUAUUUUUUCAGCAACGGGGUAGUCUUACUAAUUACUGUUUACGUCGUUACAACGCCGUUACCGUUACUGCACGUUAAAUGCGGUGCAUUACUAUGAAUUGAUUGAAUAAAAUAAGUGUAGGUACGCACCCCUGGCUCCACGCACAAACUGCUAGUGAGGAGACCGUUCGGGUUAACGACGAGAUAAUUAAUAAUGACUGGCUAAGGCAGAGUCAUGUUUCACGAUCGGGGCCAAUCGGAGCCAGUGUUUUUACACACAAGCCGCGGCACACGCACGCACACACACACACACACACACUCACACUCACACUCACACUCACACACACUCUCGAUGAAGCAGAAGAAAUGGCGAGUCCGGAGCAAUCUGAUGAAAAGUUGGCAUUAUCAAGGUGGAGAUAGAAGCACUGCCUCAAAUUCAUUGAGGUCAAAUGCAAGAAUGGGCAUGUACCUAGCCCACCUGCCCUCCUCCCCUCCUGUCUCC